UACUGGGCUUUAACUGACGCUGAGGCUCGAAAGCGUGGGGAGCAAACAGGAUUAGAUACCCUGGUAGUCCACGCCGUAAACGAUGAUUACUAGGUGUGGGGGGAUUGACCCCUUCCGUGCCGCAGUUAACACAAUAAGUAAUCCACCUGGGGAGUACGGUCGCAAGACUGAAACUCAAAGGAAUUGACGGGGGCCCGCACAAGCAGUGGAGUAUGUGGAUUAAUUCGAAGCAACGCGAAGAACCUUACCAGGUCUUGACAUCGUACGCAUAGCAUAGAGAUAUGUGAAAUCCCUUCGGGGACGUAUAGACAGGUGGUGCAUGGUUGUCGUCAGCUCGUGUCGUGAGAUGUUGGGUUAAGUCCCGCAACGAGCGCAACCCUUACUGUUAGUUGCUACGCAAGAGCACUCUAGCAGGACUGCCGUUGACAAAACGGAGGAAGGUGGGGAUGACGUCAAAUCAUCAUGCCCCUUAUGACCUGGGCCUCACACGUACUACAAUGGCUGUUAACAGAGGGAAGCGAAACCGCGAGGUGGAGCAAAUCCCCAAAAGCAGUCUUAGUUCGGAUUGUAGGCUGCAACCCGCCUACAUGAAGUCGGAAUU
rnacentral:rRNA from 1 species